rnacentral:rRNA from 1 species
AGUGCCAGCACUAUGUGCUGGCUGUUYUCCUGUGUUCAAAACUGGAGAAGUAAAGGGCUGGGUAAGACGGGUGCCAGCCGCCGCGGUAAUACCYGCAGCCCMAGUGGUGGUCRUUAUUAUUGGGCCUAAAACGUCCGUAGYYGGYUKGGUAAAUGCCCGGGUAAAUCGAWGCGCUCAACGUUUCGAAUUCCGGGUAGACCGCUCGRCUAGGGACCGGGAGAGGUGCRAGGUACUCUGAGGGUAGGGGUAAAAUCCUGUAAUCCUUSGGGGACCACCAGUGGCGAAGGCGUUACACUAGAACRGGCUCCGACGAURAGGGACGAAGCCCUGGGGCGCAAACCGGAUUAGAUACCCCGGUAGUCCAGGGUGUAAACGCUGCCGACUUGGUGUCGCUGAUCCUACGAGGGUUCGCGGUGCCGUAGAGAAGAUGUUAAGCCUGCCACCUGGGGAGUACGGUCGCAAGACUGAAACUUAAAGGAAUUGGC